AGCAGUGGACAGGAUGCUGCAGCUUUGUGGAUAUGCCAGCUAAAACCCUUCUAAAUACCAAGCUCUGUGUUUCACAGCAAGAUUGUUUAUUGAACCAGUUCGUGGAAGCUCCAAAGACUCCUCUGCUGAAACACCGCCAGCUCCAAGCUCUGAUUUUGACAUUGAUAUUGUCAGAUGAGAUUAAGCACUGGUCGUAAUGAAUGCUGGCAGACUUCUGUUGAGCCUGGAAGAACCAGAAUCCUAGGAGCAUGGAAGACUUAAUUCAUUCAACAGUAACCACCUCUUUUUAGCCUAAGACUUUGGCAGCCGAACAACAGAACAGGAAUUAUGUCAGCUUUUCUGCUUAGCAUGAGCUCUGCCCCAGAACCAAUGACAUAAAAUACGUAUGUUUGCUUUCCCUGCCACAAAGUUGCGACACAUUAUCAAAGCUUUACAAAGUCACUCUAUCUUAGGACACCCCUAGACAACUUGUUUCCAUCUUACUUCUGGGACAAAAAUAUUUACUGUAUCCUGCUUUCAUUGUCUUUGUGAAUAUUACAUUAAAUGUUGACAUGUGCUUGGCAAUUCAAAUUCAUUGGUUAAAUGUUUUUCUCCUCUCAAAAUUAUUUUUAAUAUAAUAGUCUAAUAAAUAUGAAUCCAAGAUUCCUUACUAAACAUGUGACUUUGCCUUGUCCAACCUCAGUAUUUUGUUCUAUAAAACGCAAGUAACUAGGCAACUCCCAUUUUAGGUUGUAAAAAUUGCAAAAAUUACAAAAAUGUGUUCAGUGCAGUCCAUGGCAAAAAAAAAAGAACUUCUAAAUGUCACAUAUUAUUAUUAAAAUCAGGUUCAAUUACAAUAACUGCACAAUACAAAAAUACAAAGUCAGUAUUGCACUUAGACUCUGGAGACACUUUAAAAGACAUAUGAAGUCUUCUCAUUCUAACUCUUUCAUUUUGUAUUCAAUUUAACCUUCAUUAAAAUUGAGCUAUAAUGUAGGAAGAGAUGAAUUUCUCAAAAAAGCAAAAAUGAUGAAGAUGUACAUGUAGGAAUUCACAAUAUAGAAAGGAAAGCAGAAACAUACAUAGAUUUGAUCAGGCACUAAACACUUACUGAAUGCCAGCUUUGUACUAGAAAGCACUAGGUACUAGAGUCAAAAAGAUGAUUAAACUCUAUAUCCUCUAAGGGAAGCAGUUGUCCAAUAAACAAAUAAGAGCCCUAUAUUAAUACGAUAGAUAUUAUGUUCAAGGUAACAUGAGAAGACUUUAAAAGGAAUAAUGAGCUUUAUUAAGAGGAGCUGGACUCUCCCUCCUCUCCCUCUCCCCCUCCCCCUCUCCCUCCUCUCCCUCUGCCUCUCCCUCCACGGUCUCCCUCUCAUGCGGAGCCGAAGCUGGA
rnacentral:lncRNA from 1 species